AGGUGCCUGUGUAAGACCCUCGGAACCCAUUUCCGCGGACCUUUGGCAGAGUUGGGGACGGGCGACCCCUCUGCCCUGGGAGCCCUCUGAGGCUGGUGUGAGUCGAGCUGUCAGCAGAGCCCGUCGUCUCCAGUCCCGGCAGAGUGGAAGCUGUCGCCCAGAGUUUGUGGUGGCACACAUACGCUGUGAUCCAUGAGCGUGUCCCAGAAAACAGGAAACAAGUUGAAAGUAAAGCGCACCCGUGAAAUACCUCGUCAUCUGGGGUCUGCCCCAUUAAUCGCGACGCUCAGGUAUUUUACAAAUGUACAUAUGAAUGUCAGCUGAAUAGUCAGGAGAAAGAAAAGACUGAACAGAGGGCUGGUCACAAGCAGAGGAAGGGUCUGUAUCACCAGUUUAUCCAUAGUAUUCAACAGGGAAUUCUCAUCUGCAAGACACAUGCCAAGCAGAUGUCUUCUGCUAGAGAAAAUUUUAAUUUUAAUUUUUAUUCACAAGGUCUCUGUGAAGAGAUGGGUGUUUCUUAAAUCUCCAGGCAAGCAGUUGGCAGGAGUACCAGUUGAAGGGAAUGAAUCAUCUGUGUUAGCUGUUCGUCUUUAAAAAUGGACUCUUCAGUGGCAUGUAAGUGCGCCACAGAUAAUGGACUAACUUUGUGAACAUACUCCUGCAGUAGAAAGGACAAAAAUGAACAAUUCUUAUGUAAUUAGUCACCCGACACAAGUGUUCCAGGAUAAGAUCUUCUGAAGUAUCAUAGCAGAAAUAUAAAUGGAAUACUUAGAGUUGUUGUUGUCAGCUGUUAAAAAUGGAAGUAUUUCUGCAGCAUUUCAUGUUCUCUGGAUAGUUGUGCAUCAAACUAAGGUAUUCUUGUGGCAUUGAAUUGCACAAGGGCAGUUAACUGCUUUCCUUCUGCCCUAGAAGCAAAACAGCCCACUGGCACAAUUUAAGGCAACAAAAUCAGGCUGGAUCAGGCUUGUGUUUGCCCUGCUUCUCUAGAUUUUUGCCUGUCUUGUUUGGUAUAAAGGCAUUUCUUACAUUUGAAUGUGCUGCGGUGGUUAUUCAAAUUAAUAGAUGCAGUUUCCUAACAUUCCAGCUCAAACAUUGGAAUACAAUAAACUUGAGCUGACUGGGCAUCAAAAGGCAUAAACCAGCAGUGUUAAUACAAUCAGUGUCAUGGGAUCAUUACUGCUGAAAACUGGGACUACAGCCCAUGGGUAUUAUUGUGUGUCUUCCAUCAGCUUCUCAAAGUGCACUCCAUGCACACCCAAGAAGGCCAGACAGUCUCUCCCUUAACCUAUUGGAAAGAAAUUUGUUGAGGUACACAUGUUUUCACACACAGCUUAAGGGAUAUACUCCCAUAAUUACUAGCACUGCUUCUAAGUCAGGAGUUAGUGCAGGCACAGCAUCCAGGUGUAGGGUGUUAUUACUGGUUCUGCUUUGGAAAUAUACUCAAGUGUGCCUCUCUGCCAUCUGGCAUUUCUGAUUCAGGAGAAUCUCUGUGUUUUCUUGUCUUCCUUGAACACUAAAAUCAAGGGUCAAGGUCUGCUUUUUUCUUUUGUGCAGUUUGGUUCAUUUGGGAGUUGUUCAUAACAUAACAAAGCUGUGGUUUUGCAGUAGGCUUCAGCAAAUUUAAAUCUGUGCUGCUGCUGAAGAUGGUGGUACUGGUCUCUUUUCCUUCCUGCUCCAGCUGCAUAUUCUGCUGUCUCCGUAGGGAGAAUGAGCAUACUUCUGGCUUCAAGGUCACCUGUGUCAGGAACCAUCUGAAAAUUACUGUGUGGCUCAGAUCUCAGGUGGAUCAUUUUGGUAUUUUUGAUCUGGCUGACUCUGAGGCAGCAUGAAUACUGAUGAUGAAACAAGAGUGUUUACCUAGGGCUGAGGAGAGGAGGGGGAGGGAGGUGGUGAGUGGGCCUACCUCUUUGCACACUCCAUACUUAAGGUAGCUUAAACCAAUAAUGAAGCAGCACCUAAGAGUCUGCUUGCUAAACUCAGAGGUGAAAUGUGCUUCUGGUAUUAGGGAAGACCAAACACUGGAAAAUUCCAAUGCUUUUUUUUUUUAAACUUUCUGUGCAGUGUAAUUUCCAGAGAGCCUGAAGCAGAGCCAUCAUGCAGGAAAAAUAAAUAAUAGAUAUUGAGUGGAACAAUAGUAAGAGCUAGACACUUCACACAGACCCAGUGUUCCAAAUUUUUAUCCAUAUAAUUCCACUAGUUUUCCCUAAAGUGUUCUUUGGUGGGAGAAUGUCAAAAAUACUCUGAAACACACCAAAAAUUAUCAAAAAGUUAUGCACAAUUCAUAAGCUUCAACUGGGAUGAAAACUUAGUGAAAUAAAUUUUUUACUAACCUGCUUUUUUUAAGCAAUCCAAUCCUUCUUCCUGCAAUUCCUACCUAGACAGGCCCAUGAAACCUGUGGAGAGGAAGUGAUGCCUCAAAGUUACUCAACAUGUGAGUUGGGAAGGGAAAAGGGGGACUGUGAGGGGAAAGGAGGGGGAGUGGGUGAAAUGUGGAUGGAUGGAUGGAUCUGAGAAUUAUGCUGCAGCUGAGAUUGAAAUAAAAUUUCACCUUAAAAUGGGGUGGCUGCUGCUUCUAUGAAAGUCUUGGGGAUAAUUCAUCUGCCACUUGCUAAAUUGGCAGGGUUUCUUUCCAGGUUCUCUUUUCUAUUCUCCAUUAUGCUUUGUAUGUGUAUACAUGUGUGUGAGGUAUGUGUAUGUAAUUUUCAAGAGAUCUGGCCCUUUCUUUCUCCUUGGGUAACUUCUGAAAUAGAGCUGUCAGGAUGAUUCCAGCAUUUGGAGCCAUAUUCUUCCUGACAGAAUAUAACUCUUUUUCACAGUUUUCCUUUUUUAUGGCCUGAAGUCAAUGGGAAUAUUCAAUGCAACCUAAGGUCAGGUUCCUGAAUUUUAACACAAUUUCCCAUGAGAACUAGAAGAACGAAAAUUCCUUUAAGACAGGGAAGAAAAAGUGGAAUGGUAAUGUAAGGACAAAACACUUGUUAUGUGGCUUUAAAAAAGCAGCUUGAAGAGAUUUCAGAUCUAGGGGGAGGUGAGCUUCAUUUAAUCUGUCCAGGAAUUUAGCAGCAGUCACAGAGUUAUCAGUCACUUGUACAAAAGGGUUGAACUCUCAUAGCAACUGGCUGUGCUAGCAAUCUUGAAAUUCAGUAGGCCAGCUGCAAGAAGAUACAUCAAGUUAAGUAAUUUCAAAAAUGUAUUGAAAUAUAGCAUAUGCAGUCAUACAAACCUGUAUGAUGUGGCAGGAUUUUAAGCAAUGCCUUAGCAAUAUGGUUGUAUGUGUAGCUAUGGGCUAUACAGAAAUACAACCACUCUUUUCUAGAACAUAAAAAAAGGGUUGGUUAUGAGCUGAACAGGUUUGUGUGAUUGACUUAUAUCUGAUCAUUGAUAUUAUUUGAUGCCUUGGAAGGCAGAGGUUGUGAAUGUUCAGUCAACAAAAAAAGUUUGUAAUACUGAAAAGAAAUGAUGAUGUUAAUUUAUUUUCUGCAAAGGAAGAGGUUUCAUGCCUGUGCCCACCUCCACAGAGUGGAAAUUCACAGAGACCUAGUUUUUAUCUAGGCAGAGUUUCUCAUAUAUCAGUGGAAAUUUUAGACUCUCUAAUAUCAGUUGUACUUUGAAAAAUCUAAAUUUUCUUGUUUUACAUAUUUCUGAUGUCAAGUCUUACAUUUUGCAUUAGUGAAAUAGGAUGAGAAUGAAGAUGUUGCUAUUUACAAACUCUUUGAAGAUGUAAGGUGCUGUAUAUAUAUAUAAAUCAUCACUUUCAUAUGAGUUUGGAUGUGCUAAAAAUGCAGUACAUUUCAUUGGUGAUAAAGCAUCAUGAUCAAUGAAGAAUCUGAAUAUUAAAGUUAGAGGAGAGUAUUUUAUUUUUUACUGUGUCCCUGUAUAUGUUCCAUUAAGAAAGAAAAAAUAUGCUUUAUUAAUGUAGUAUUUCAAGCUCUUUUUGCUUCCUGAAAUGUCAGCUGUCAAACUUUGUUGCCAUCCUUGAGAACAACUAAAAAGUGAGACAUUUCUCUGUUUGGAGGCGCUUGCCUUCCAGUAAUAACCCUAUCUUAUCAAUGGUUUAAAAAAAAAGGUUUUAAAUUAAAACAUUGGCUAAAAAUUAUAUCUUAUUAUAUCUUUUGAUGCAGAAUUGCAGGGAGUAAAAUAAACUCCAGAGAGUAAAACAUGUUGUAGGUAAGAGAAGUGGAAGCAGUCCGGCUUGUGGCAAGGUGAACUACAAAAAAUCCGGUUUUAUAAAUGAUGAACAAUCCCAUUACAUUUCAGAUUUUUAUGGAAAACCUAUUCUACAGAAUACUUAAAGUCAUGAAUUGCCUUUGUUGAUUUUCUGCUCUCUCUUAAUUUCUUUACUCUUUCCAUAACAGUUAUUUCUAUUCUGUUUUCAGUCUGCUUCAUGUUGCCUUGUCUUACCUUUCCAUGCCUUUUCCCCUCCUCCACAUCCUUUCUCUCUUUCUCAUGUAAUCUCAGAGCUGUUAGAAAAAAUGCUGCUUUUUUUCCCUGCGUAAUGUUCUUCAGCUUUAGCAAUUUUCCAUUUCACUUUUUUCUUGUUAUACUUUUUCCAUUUAAUAUUUUGGGAGAAAAAUCAUUCUAUUUUAAGUGGAGCCAAAUACACCAUCACAAUGUUUUGGCCCAUGUUAGGUUUGGUUUUUUUUUUCAAAUAUAAAGUUUAUUUGCAGUUUCCUGUGCUCCCCAUUUGACUGCUAUUAAAGGAGAAGGAGGGGGGAAAAUAACUUUUACCAUCAGCAGAAGGUGUGUCUUUACAAAUGUCACUUUCUUGUCCCUCAUUUGUUUUGUAGUAGCAUGGAAGCUCUGCAGGAUUCUUUACAGAGCCUGUGUCUCACCAUAACAUAACUUGUUUGUAAGAUGACAUUGGUCUGGAGCUAAAAUUACUGCAAUAUGUUUUAGGGGGUGAUGCACUCUGAAUGAAUUCUAAGGAGGUAAAAAUUUGAAUUAUGUUCUACAAAAAAUUGUUAGGACAGUGUAGUGUUGUGUGGGCAGCUGUGGGUUAUAAGAGCUGGUUUGGAGGUGGAAUGCAAGUGGUUUUAGGUAGAGUCCAGGAUUUUUGAAAUCAGAGAAGCUUUCAUCAAAAGAGCACCUUCUACUAAUAGCUACUGUAUUUUCAGAGUAACUGAAGAUUGAAGGAAACAGGUUGAUUAAUUUUACUACUGAUUAAUGUUUAUUGCUACAGAAAGCAUCUCUUUGCAUUUAAUCCAUGAAUGUUCUGUCCUGGCUGAUACUUUCUUAGAGUUUAUAUAAAAAGGCUAUAUAAAAGUGGACAAAAAUGAUGACACCACUUAUGAUACAAGAAAACUGGCAAAUAACUACGGGUGCCACAGCAUUUAGGCACCAUGGUGAUAGGUGCCUUAGAGACACAUGCAAGAGAGACAAACAGAAUGAGUCAACGUAUUGCCCAAUUUGCAUAAAAUUUUUCAUAAAAUAACUUGCAGUGUUUGAGAAAGAAAAUAAAUAUUUGGUGUUUGGGUUGCUAUGGUGUUGUGGUAGGGAAAAAAGCAAAACUAUGAACAAACAGUCUAUGCUACAUUAUGAGUUUACUAAGCAGACAGUCUUCUAAGUAACAAAGUGAAUAUGAAAAAAGGCUUUAAUUAUGUAGAGCUUAGUUGUGAUACCAGCUAGUGUAACGACAGCUUUUUCUGUCCUCUUCACUUAGGAAGAUCUUAAACACACUGAUUUCAAGAAACUGAAGAGGGUUGUGCAGCAAGUGCUGUGAAUUUCUGUAUUUACUCCUUACUUUGAUUUACUUCUUUGGACUUGGUGAUAGAAACAGCAGGUUUUGUCAACCUCUGAGAGCAUUUCUUGCUUUUUCUUUAAGUUGGGAUGAACAUUUACUCUGUCUUACUGUGCUUCUUUUUGAUUCAGAAGCAUUUUUAAUAUAUUUUUCAAUCCAAGGGGGAUGAGUGCUCUCUUUUGCAUGCUCUUCUACACUAACAUCUGGUUUCAGCAGUCCUCUUAAACAUAUGUCUAAGUGCAUCCUUAAAUAUUUGGUUGGUCAUAUGCCUAAUGGAGUACAGUAGGCACAUUAAAGAGCAGGAUAUUCUUAAGUGCUUUUUUGAAUAGGGACCUAAAUGGGAAUGAAAUGACAAUUAUGUACUUUUAAUUGCGUGCAUUAAUUAGCCAAGUAUAUAUUUCAUUUACUAACAUUAUCUUUUGUAGUUAUAUAACUUUAAAGAUUAUAGAAAAGUACUUAAUCCAAAUUUUGUUCAAUAUAUGUGUUUUAAUAAGUAUACUUACCCUCAGUAUAAUUUAGCUGCAAAGGUGUUAAUAAAGAAUAAGAAGUUGUUUCCAUUCAGCACACAUAUUUUCCUGGUAAAUGAACUUGCAAUACUAAGAAAAGGGUUUAGGGGGGAUAAAGAAAAAAGAAAAUUGAGAAAUUCAUUGUAACUUUUUCAAAGGUGCAUCAUGGUUUAAGAAUUUUAUGCCUUUGCUACAGUGUAGUUAUUUUUCAAUUGUUGCUUCUGACUGAGCAGUUUUUCUGACUGACCUAGUUUUUCUGUUAGGCAUGAAUGAAUGGACAAAUUUAAGAAUUAAGUACCCAAACAGAAUAAACAUGUCAUUUUGUAGUUUCUGAAACAUUUGGCUCUGAUAAUGCAGCUCAAGAAACUCAUACUCUUUUCUAAUGAGUGAAUGGCUUGAAACGUGUUCUGUAUCACAGUCUGAAAAAAAUAGUUACUUUAUCUAAUUUGCAAUCCUUUUGCUAGGGGCAAGGGUAAGAAAUUUAGGGAUGAGUUAACAUAUCCAUCCCUUUUAUGAAACUGCAUGGUACUCUUGUGAGCUUCCAUAAAAGGGGAAGAUCCUGAGCAGAAAUAAUAGCAAAAUUAGACAUCAGUAUUGCGCUAGAGUUACUCAAAUUUAAGCUCAAUAGAAUUGCCACCUGAAAUAUAUUUUUUUAACUCUGCUUAACUUUUUCUGAAAACUCUCUCAAUAAAGGUAUAUUUUACCAAUAUGUUUUUCUUGCAGAUAACUUUGAAUAAAAGGAAACUAUUCCCCAAAUGCAUACUUGUGUAAGCAUUUGGAAUGCAGUAAGUGUGUUUUCAUUAUGACUGAACAAUUUCAGCUGUGAGCAACUCUACAGCAAAAAGUAGAAAAGAAAUGCAUCUUUGGAGGUAAAUUGAAUUGCUGUACCCAAAGAACUGGGAUCUGCCUUUUAUAAUUUAGACAUGAGUAAACUAAAAUAAAAAUAAAGGUUCAAACUAGAUUCUCCACUGUUUUCAAAUGCCUUCAUAAAAAAUUAAAUUGAAAUGGAGUAUAGGAAAUGACAGAACUUAAAAAAUAUUUUUCUCUGCAUUUUCAACAUGUACUCAUCAAUGUGUACUCUGUAAAGAUUCCGUCUGCAACUCAAAAAGCCCUUCUAAAUGAAAUUCAGCAAAAAACAAUAGUCUGUCUAAGCAGAAAUGAUCUUAUCCAGGACAGUCAUUUGGAUAGUGUAUAGCAGUGUAUUUGUGUACAUCUAUGUGUAUGGAGACAAUUUAGGGAAGAGGUAGGGAAAAGACAAUCCUGAUAAUAUUAUUUGUAAAGUAUCUCUCCUCUGAAUGAUAUUUCACCAUCUAAAAGACUAAUUAGAUUGCAUGAUUGCAUGACUCCAGAGUUUUGCAUCUCAGCAAUAAAAUCCCCACAGAGUCAUUUAUCAUGUCAAAGGGUAAGUGGUAUUUUUUGGGGUAUCCAUCUGGAUAGAUGAAAAAGAAACACUGCAGUUUGGAAAUUUGUAGAUACAUAGGUAUGACCUGUGAAUGAGUGAUCUGCAAGAUUACAAACUGAAUGCUCUUUAAAUGGAAACAUGAAAGGUAUUUCUGUGUAUAAAUGCUAGCUGUCUCUUUUAAAAGUUCAAGAUACUUUUAGUUACAGCCAGCCCUCAAACACUUCUGGAUGUUUCCAAAUGCAGUGUCACAAAGGCAGUCAAAAAAAUAUGGAGUGAGUCCACAAAGGUAUAAGGAAGUGGAUUUUGCACUUCUGAUUUUUUUUUUUUUUGAUGAUUUGGUUCUAUUAGUCCUAAGCAAUCUGUGUUGCAGGCAGGCCAACAUGUCACUGCUAGUGUCAUAGUUAUGUUCAGCAGACAUCUUGGCUGAAGUCUGAUAAAUGUAUCUUUGGAAGAUCAUAAUUUUUCUAAAUGGUAUGAUUUACUUGGUGAGGACUUUGGUCUUGAGUCUGCAAAAAUCAACACUUUUGAUUGACUUUAAAAAUACAAACAGUGCAAUCCUUUGGGAAAGACCCUUAAUUUCCAAAAACUGUCAGACUGGACUCUGCAGACAGACUUUUAUGCUUAGUACUGUGAGUACUUAUCUUGCCUAAUUUCAAAAUACCCCUGAUCAGCUGCAGGAUAAGGCUAGGAGCAUUUUCAUCCUGAGCUAUCAUGUCUGCAAUACAGAGAUAUGUCUUUUUUGGAUAGUUUUGGGAGAAAUGCAAAUGCAUUAACCAUGCCAGGAAUUCUAUUAAGUGGUAAAUUGUCCUGUCCUGUUUCCUCCCCUCUCCCUCACCCCCCACCCCACUAAAAAAGAGAAUGUUUUUAUAUUCUAAAAGUUAUUAUUAUACAGUGCAUUACUGGAGUAGGAAAAGACUGAAAUUGCUACUUAUGCUCAUUCUUCUUUAUGUGGGUGGACUUUGGUAAUACAAAAUGAUGCAAAAGUACUGUUACCAAGAACUUGGCAAUAGAGAAUCCUGCGGGCAGAGAAACAUCUUAAGCCCUUUCUUCAGAAUUUAAAAGCUUUCCUUAUAUUCAGUUGGGAUUCCCCUUUUUUUUUAUUUAUUUUUUUCUUUUGUCUUUAAUUUGUCAUAAAGUACAGACCACGAGAGAGGAGCUGGGAGGUGGAGCAAAAAACAUUGGUCAGAGUGAUGGAGAAAAGAUCUUCCAAUUUUUGAAGAUGCAUCCAAAAGAAAUUAUUUUUAGUCUGUAAGGUGUGAUGCAUCUCACCUAGUUUCAGGUGCCCCUGGUAAGGGGCAAAAAGUGGGUCACCCUGAAUUUUUCCGAUUGGAUAUGGAAAGUGGUGGUCAAGUCCAAAUUGCUCACCCCACCUCAAGUUUUCUUGGUCCUUCACCACUGAUUGUAAGGCAGAACAAAUUGGCUUGCCACUUAGGAAAUAGGUAUUUUAAUAAGGUUAAAACUCUGUCCUUAAAGAUCGUAUUUCCUAUGAUAUUUUAAUGCUAAAGAAUGAAAAGAAAAAUGACUGAUUGGGAUUUUCAGAAGAUGUUUAACUUACAUUGAUUUCAAUGGGACUAUAUGAAUGCUUUGCAACUUAGUGAGGUUCCUGAGUAACUUGAGAAACUAUGUCUGCAAACCUGAGUUUCACUAAAAAAAAAAAAAAAAAAGUUAAAAGCUACUUCAUACAAGAAAAUCAAAAUUUGAUGGUUUAGACAGUUUAGUAGCUUUCAAAAUAUUAAACUUUUGUCCAUUCAUUUCCUAGUAAGGCUCUUCAGUUUGUUUAGGAUGGUCUGGAUGCACCAUAAGAUUCUAUGAAGAAAAAGAUUUUUUAUAAAAAUAAACAAAUUCAGUCCAGAUUUGUUGGUAGUGGGAAAAGUUAAAAAUGUAACUUAAUUUUUGCUCACCUGCUUAAAUCUUUUUUUCAGACAUAAGAGAUUAGGAAUGGAUUUUGCUUUAAUAAAGUGAGCCUGCUGUGAUGUUGCUGCUGUUUCUAAAUGGGAUAUCUCAUUCUUCGUUAUAUAAAGCUUCACAAUUCCAUUUUAUUGGGCAAGCAAGGCAAUCCUUCAUUAGCUCAGAGCUCCACUGACUUCAAGGGGGUGUAAUGCCAAGGUGUAAAGUCUUCCAUGUAGAACCUUGCAUGAAAAAUUUAGCAGGGUUGAACCUGCACUUGGCUGUAUUUGUAUUUCUUGCUGAAAUAUGCUAUCCUGUGAUAACAGCAUCAGUAAUCUUCAGUAGGGUAUUACAGAAAGUGAACAGCACUAUGUUUAUGAUAUGUUUAUGAAAUUGUAUACUGUUAGAGUUAUUAAUUAGCACAGAAGGACAUGUACAUAAAAAACUUGCAAACUAAAAUGGAGAGCAUGUUCUGAUAUAAUGUAUUUUUGCUGGUUAUGUUACUAACACUUGUUAGUAACAUAACACUUGUAUUAUUAUGCAAAUAAGCAAAUAUUUGUAGAAAUCCUGUAUUUAUGAUUUAGCAUUAUUAGAUCAAUUCAGAAGGAAUAGCUGGCACCUCCUUUCUUAUAAAAACACUUUUGUAGUCACUGGAAUGAUACAUUUUUAAAAGGUUUUUGAAUAUAAUAAAGAAUAUAAUUAAUAAAUAAAAUAAAUAUAAACAAUAAAAAUAAUAUUUUUUAAGGAUUAUACAUAUAUUAUUGUUACUCUAGUUUUUCCCCUAUGACAUUCUUAACAGCAAUAUGGAGUGAUUUCAGUAUCUGUUUCAGCAGAAUAUUUCAACAGUAACACAAGUCUGUUGCAAAAGUUGCUACUUGAAAAAGUUCUUGUACCUUAUAAAGUGCUCCUUAUGAAUGAAAUAAGUGACAUAAAUAUGCCAAUAAAUCUGACUUGAACUAAAUCACCCUAAAUCUAGGUGACAUAUCCAUCUGUAAAAUACAUCAGAAAUAAGGUCCAGGUGCAUCAUCAAGGUGAAGUUAAGUAAGUUCUGUAGUGAGGUCUUUGAUAAAACUUUAUUUUGUCAAUUAUAAGAGGUGAAAAUUAAAUAAAUGCUAGCUUCUGCAAUGAAUGAAAUAAUUUAAUUCCAAAUACAAUAAUCGUAAAUUCUGCGUAACUAAUUAAUGUCUUCUUUCUAUAUUCAGGCAUGAUCAUUAAAUUUUUAACUAGCUUACUACUGAAUUAAUUAAUUUCAAAAGUAACAUUACUGACAUGUUUUUGGCUAAAGUAGGCAUCCAUCUACAUAUUAAAAGUAUUUUUGAUACAUUUACAAAAACCAGUAACUUUAUAUAUUUUUUCCUACUACUGUGAUAAAGUGUUCAUAAAUUUAAGUAGUGUGUGUUUGCUAAGCAUUUUUUGGUUUUCUUUUUUUCAGAAUAAAAGAAAAAAAUCUCUAUUGAAUGUGCAAUGGAAGCAAAUGUUUUUCCAGUUCAGCAGUUUCUGCUGAGUUGUAAACAAUCGGGUUGUUUCAAAAGGAGAGUAGCAUGGUCUGUAACUCCGACAGCUAGUAGUAGUUUAGUUUACUGCUUCUACCACCUGCCUUCUGACUUAAUAUUGGAAGCAAGAAGCAUGCAAUUAAGUAUGAGGAAAUGAAAAUAAAUGACACUGUUCAUUGCACAUUACAAAGUGCCUGGCAGAAAGAAUGCAGCUUGCCUGGACCUGGUGACCCCAGGGGAAAACAUGUCUCGUGCCUGGGAAAGCGCCAGCGAAUCAGACACUGACCCUGGCUUUAUCCACUAUCAAAUGCAUUGGGCUCUUUCUUAGCAAUUUGAAACUUGUUUUUUCUUUAAAUUAUAAUUGAGUUCUGAAAAGCAGGGAGAUAUAAAAUGAAACAUAUACUGAGUGUAGGAGCUACAAACAUACAGGAGUAUUUUCUUUAUCAUUUCUUGAGGAAAGUUAUUUGGAUUACAUCCUGAAUUGGACUAAUUUGAACUGGUUAUUAAAUUCUAUGGCUUCUAGAGGUGAAGAGGUUUUUGAAAGAUUACUUCCAUCUAUGCAGCAAUAUUGCAUUCAGUGCAAUAUUACUGGGUAUAUAACUCAAAACCUCCCCUUAUUCCAGAAUCUGAAUGCUUAAAACCUGUCUCAUUUUAACAUGCCGGUUUUGUGAAUGCUGUAACCUUUAUGGCUUAUACAGUGGUUAGAGCACAAAGUAAUAAUUGUAUUUAAGUCAUUUGUCCUAAAUUGUUUAUGCAUCUUUACGGAGGUAAGUAAAUGCUAUCCUGAUAUUCCAGAAUAGGAAGAAACUGCACCACACAGAAAUCUGAUGGCUUGCCAGAACACAUAACACAUCAAAGAGUAGCUGAAAGUGAGAUAUCCAGUUGUACAAGAGAAUAAAGGUUUUAACAUAAAUCAUGUUAUUUUGCUACAGAAGUAAAAUUUGUUCUUUUUUAUAUGAAUGUAGGUGCAUUAUAAAUUAAUUAACACAUUACAGAUUACUGUAAUGCAUUAAUUUAGCACUACUGUCUGAUUCAGAUGGCCAUGUAUAAAUAGUGGGGAAGCUUUCAUAAUGAAAGCAGAAGCAAGUAGAGAUUUUCAUGUGUUCAUGAUCUGGUAAAAAACUAGAACUCAGAUGAGGUAUGCCAAAGUUUGUAGACUUUUCAGUGAAGGUAAGUAGCCAGAGAAUCUUAUAGAACAGAUAAUAUCAGGUAGAAAUGGUGCCAAGACUUGGUGGUUUUUAGUGAUUUCAUCUUGAAGAAAGGAGCAUCUUGGUAGCUUGAUAGGUAUUGUUUUGAGUAUAAUUUUUUUCACCCCAUAACUCAAAGUAAAACUCAAGGGUGCAGACUCAGAAGGAAUUGAAACCUUUUAGGGAGUCACAGACCCUCCAUUCCAAAACCACCAACUUUCACAUUUCUGGCUGUAUGCAAGUACACUGAUCUUCUCUUUCUUUAAUAUUGUAUGCACACUCUGUAGAAGGAUUUUUUCUUAUUUCAACCAAAUUAUAGGUAAGUUCCUCACAUUCUGUGAAAGGUAGUCUUGUUUACUGCACUUCUUCACAGGGCUUUUCGACCCCAGUAGGAAAAAAAAAGUAUUUAGAUGUCAGUCAUUGAGUUUCUGCUAGUUAAAAAUCAUGUCUUUCAGAGAUGCUUUCUAUCCAUAGUCCUGCACAACAUGAAAUAUGGUUGACAGCUAUAUUACCACAUUGCAGAUUGCAAAGCAAUUCACAUUCACACUUCUAAGUGCCUCUCCUUUCAAGACUUAUGGAUGUAUGCCAAAUUACUUGCAUUGUGGUAUAUGGCCUUCUAUAUGUACUUUAUAGAAUAGGUCUCUGGUUUUCAUUAAAAUCAAUGAAGUAGAGACCAAAAGAGCUUUUCUGAAGUGUUUACUAGAUGUCAGGCAAGGUUAAUAAUAAAAUAGUUCAUGUAUAAUAUGCGUCUUCAAUAUAUUUCAGUGUUUAUCUUUAAGAAGAUAUUUUCUGAAUUUAGGACAGAAAUUCCUCAGCUGAAUUUAAAUGUUAAACAGUGUUAAGUUCAGCUGUCAUUGUUUGCUCCCCAUUAGUGUCUCUGUAAAAAAUGAAUAUAUGAUUUCAUAUCCUAUUUAGGGAAGUGCUUCCAAAUGUAAUGGACCAGUAGCCAUUUAAGGACUCUAAGGUCUUGUGCUAACAAAAUCAUUAUGGUUAUCUCAAAUGAAAUGGGAAAGACACAGGAUGCCCUCCAAUGGCAUUUCUUCUAGAAAAAUUAGUGACUAUGCCAUGUCAUAAAGCCAUGUUUUUAGUCACUAUUUCAUUACAGCAGUUCUUUGUCAGACAAGUUCAAGUGGAUGAUCAGAAGUGAUUGUAUAAUAAUAUGAUUAAUUUAUUAAUACUUAUUAAAAUAUUAGUGUGAUUAUUUUCACGCAUAUUACGAUGGUAAAUGAGGAAAAAUGGUGGGGUUUAAAAAUAAAGACUUACAACAAACAUAGUGAAAAACUGAAUUUUGGGGGAGAGGAAAAAAGAGAUGCUCUAAAGAUAUUUGAGUGAAAUAUGGACUCAAGUGAAUUCAGUCAGUGUGAUGAAAAUUGACUUAAAGAGUGAGGAAAGACAUAAAAAUGAGUGUGUGAUGGUGGAGGGUAUUUUUCACCUUUCUUUUUUUUUUUUCAAUUAUAUUAUUAAAGUUUCCCUUAGGACUACAGUACCUAGAAGAAAGCAGCAAUGCAGUUUUACAAUUGUCUUGAGAUUUAGAGGGGAAAAAAAAGGAAUACAUGGAAGUCAUUAUCACUGGCUUUUGUCAGUAAUCCUAAAUGCAUGAGGGUUUUUUUUUCUUGUUUAAGGAUGUGUUUUACCACAGUGAGGUAGGUAUAAGUUGGGCUAGUGACUUGUUUUUUCCAAAUAACAUUGUAUUUUUGUAGCCCAGAGUUCCACUAAGUUGUGUUCUCCAAAGGAUAUAAUAAUUAUAUGCUAUGUUUUUCACUUGAACUUUACCAAAUUGUGGUCUGUACCUCAAGGUGUUCUGUGAAAUCAUCUGCUGUGGUUAGGAAACGUCAGCAUGUCCAUUUAUCAAAAUAACUUGAAAGAAAAUACAGUGAACAGGGACCUAAAUGUACUGGAGCAAUUGCACUAGGUAAUUCUCCGUAAGUAAAUUUGAAAGUGAAGCAAACUGAUGUCAUUUAGAAAACUACUGGCCUAGUUAGUAAAACAGAAAGUUUGCUAGCUAAUUUCAAAAUACAGAAAAUAAAUUUCUGGAUAUUAAAUUUAGUUUUUAAGAAUUCCUGUACUGGAACACACUUCCCCUUUGUCUCUGAAAAUAACCCAUGGAGGUUAGAAGUAGAUUCCAGCAAACAGUAUGAGUACAGCAUGGUCUUUCAUUUGAUAUGGCCAUGUAAGCUCUGCAGUUGCUUCUCAUAGCCGUAACCUCCAUGAACCUCAUCUAAUCUCUUGCAACAUCUAUCAAGUGUGUCACAGCAAGAAAGUUUGUCCACUGAAGUGGCGGAAUGGAAAAACAGAAUCUCACAAGUGAGAAAUAUUUAUGCUUCCUUCACCAAGCUGUAAAGAGUCAACCACAGUUGCAUAAGCCUUUCCUGCAGGGUUUCAACAGCUCUAAACAUCCUCAACUAAGGUGGCAAAAAUCACCAAAAGUACCCAAAAAGAAGCUGUAAACAGCAUGAAAACAAAUGAAGGCAGAAAAAUUAAACUUGCAAAAAAAAAAUGCAGUCUUCCUUUAUGUUAAAAUUACUAAAAAAAAAAAAAUAAAAAAAAAAAAAUAGUGGUGUUCUUAGUUGUUUGCCCAGGCUUUUUCUUGCAUCUCAACCAGAUGCUGGAGAUGAGGAAAAUGUGGACAAAUAAGAUGCCUGAAGUGGUUUACAAUGAGCAUUAAUGCAAAAUGCACUUUUGAGUCUAUAGGAAAUUUCUUGGUAAUAGUAGUGAACAGAGAAAAAUUAAUUUCCUCUCAGAACUACUGAUGUUAAGGUUGAUUUCUGCAAAGAUUGCUGGAGAAACAACCUUUCUAGAAAAUAGAGGAAAAUUAUGUCACAACAGUGACUGCCACCUGCUGCAGUCCUGAGAUAACAUGGAUGCCAGGAUAUUUCCCAGAUGUUUAUUAGCUCAUUGGUGGUUUCUGUAAAUGUGCUCCAAGACAACUGCUCUGGAGACAGCUAACCAGAUUUUCAGCUCCUGACAAGAAAUGACAUUAUGAUGUGAGGAAAACAUCAAAUUCUCGCUUUAAGUCCCUGGUCUCCUGUGCAAGGACUUCCUGCCAAAAUAUUUUAACUAUCUCUAAUUUGUCUAUUUUUGUCCUUUACUUUUAGCCCAAAAGACCACAGCAAGUCCAGAACAAUGGUAUAAUAAAAUUCAGUGUUUCUUAAAAAAUAUUGAAAGCAAGCUUAUAUACUUAUCCAACAGAAACAUUGGAGACAGCUUUCUACAUUUUUGGUUUAGCUUGAAGGCAUAGGCCAAAGUCAUGGCUGCUGGUACAGGGCUGCAAAAUAUAGCAAAACCAGCAUUCAAACGUGGCUGGUAGAAGCUGAGGAUGCUCAUAUUUCUUCACAGUGCACAUGUAAGUGUGGUCUAGUAUGAUGUCAAGUCUACCACAGAACAAAUCUUGCCUUUUUGGCCCCAGAAUUUUAUGGAAAAUGAAGAAUUUGCUAUUGGCAAAUGCGUAUAAAACACUGUUGAAAAAAUAAUGGGAGGUGGUGAUUUUUUACAGUGGAAAGGAAAAAUCUCUUCAGAAGACAAAAAAUGUGGUCUAUUAGCAUAAUAAUGUCAUCAGAGAUCAAGUGUUAUAGUAUUUUAUAUUUUUACACUGCUGUUCCAUAAACAUACAACAAUAGCAGGUUAAUAUAUCAAAUGUAUACAUAAAGUCUUCCCACUGUGCAUAACUGUUCCAUAUAUUACUGUUAUAUCUUCUGAGAUUAAGUAAACACAGAAUGUAAUGUACUGUACAUAAAUAUAGCACUACUGAAUCAUAAUAAAAAU